GCACUGGUUGUGCAUGGUGCACUCACUGCUUAUGUAAGCUAUUCCCCUGACAUCACAGUGACCUGGGUUCGAUUCCCCGCCGGCGCA